AUGCGAUACUUGGUGUGAAUUGCAGAAUCCCGUGAACCAUCGAGUCUUUGAACGCAAGUUGCGCCCGAAGCCAUUAGGUUGAGGGCACGUCUGCCUGGGUGUCACGC
rnacentral:rRNA from 1 species